rnacentral:tRNA from 1 species
UGCCGGGUAGUGUAAUGGUAGCACAAGGGACUUUGAAUCCCUUGGUCUAGGUUCGAAUCCUAGCCUGGCAG